UCGGCCUUGAGCCGGGUGAUCUCGGCGAUCGCGUCGCCGUUGACCAGUCGGGUGUUCCAGUCGACCUGGUCGAUC
rnacentral:tRNA from 1 species